rnacentral:rRNA from 1 species
AUUGAACGCUGGCGGCAGGCCUAACACAUGCAAGUCGAGCGAGUGGCGGACGGGUGAGUAAUGUCUGGGAAACUGCCUGAUGGAGGGGGCUAACUACUGGAAACGGUAGCUAAUACCGCAUACCAUCAGAUGUGCCCAGAUGGGAUUAGCUAGUAGGUGGGGUAAAGGCUCACCUAGGCGACGAUCCCUAGCUGGUCUGAGAGGAUGACCAGCCACACUGGAACUGAGACACGGUCCAGACGCCUACGGGAGGCAGCAGUGGGGAAUAUUGCACAAGGGGCGCAAGCCUGAUGCAGCCAUGCCGCGUGUAUGAAGAAGGCCUUCGGGUUGUAAAGGACUUUCAGCGGGGAGGCGUUACUCGCAGAAGAAGCACCGGCUAACUCCGUGCCAGCAGCCGCGGUAAUUC